CCUACGGGAGGCAGCAGUGGGGAAUUUUGGACAAUGGGCGCAAGCCUGAUCCAGCCAUGCCGCGUGUGGGAAGAAGGCCUUCGGGUUGUAAACCACUUUUGUCAGGGAAGAAACGGUCUGAUCUAAUAAAUUGGGCUAAUGACGGUACCUGAAGAAUAAGCACCGGCUAACUACGUGCCAGCAGCCGCGGUAAUACGUAGGGUGCAAGCGUUAAUCGGAAUUACUGGGCGUAAAGCGUGCGCAGGCGGCUUUGCAAGACAGAUGUGAAAUCCCCGGGCUCAACCUGGGAACUGCAUUUGUGACUGCAUGGCUAGAGUACGGUAGAGGGGGAUGGAAUUCCGCGUGUAGCAGUGAAAUGCGUAGAUAUGCGGAGGAACACCGAUGGCGAAGGCAAUCCCCUGGACCUGUACUGACGCUCAUGCACGAAAGCGUGGGGAGCAAACAGGAUUAGAUACCCUGGUAGUCCACGCCCUAAACGAUGUCAACUGGUUGUUGGACGGCUUGCUGUUCAGUACGAGCUAACGCGUGAAGUUGACCGCCUGGGGGAGGUUAGGCGCGAGUUAGAGNGNANGAGUUGNGNGNGAGAGNGCGAGGACGACGACGAGGGAGGAG
rnacentral:rRNA from 1 species